rnacentral:rRNA from 1 species
GACGAACCGUGCGAACGUUAUUCGGAAUCAUUGGGCUUAAAGGGCGCGUAGGCGGCGGUGUAAGUUGGAAGUGAAAUCCCAUCGGCUCAACCGUGGAAUUGCUACCAGUACUGCAUCGCUCGAGGGGGAUAGGGGUUUGCGGAACUACCGGUGGAGCGGUGAAAUGUGUUGAUAUCGGUGGGAACGCCAGUGGCGAAAGCGGCAAACUUGACCCUUCCUGACGCUGAGGCGCGAAAGCUAGGGUAGCAAACGGG